CAGGAUGAACGCUAGCGACAGGCUAACACAUGCAAGUCGAGGGGUAACAGGGUAGCAAUACCGCUGACGACCGGCGCACGGGUGAGUAACGCGUAUGCAACCUGCCUAUAACUGGGGAAUAGCUCCCUGAAAGGGGAAUUAACACCGCAUAACACUAUUGAUUCGCAUGGAUUGGUAGUUAAAUGUAGCGAUACAGGUUAUAGAUGGGCAUGCGUGACAUUAGCUAGUUGGUGAGGUAACGGCUCACCAAGGCUACGAUGUCUAGGGGUUCUGAGAGGAAGGUCCCCCACACUGGUACUGAGACACGGACCAGACUCCUACGGGAGGCAGCAGUGAGGAAUAUUGGUCAAUGGGCGCAAGCCUGAACCAGCCAUGUCGCGUGCAGGAAGACUGCCCUAUGGGUUGUAAACUGCUUUUAUAGUAGAAGAAACACAUCUACGCGUAGAUGUCUGCCAGUAUACUAUGAAUAAGCAUCGGCUAACUCCGUGCCAGCCGCAGC
rnacentral:rRNA from 1 species